rnacentral:piRNA from 1 species
UGUUAAAGGAACUAUGACAAACUAAAUGGUC